rnacentral:rRNA from 1 species
AUGCGAGCAGCGGCGGAGGCGGCAUUACCGGGCUCGGGAGCGUGGUGCGGGAUGGCGGGCCGGGAGCAGGAUGGCGACGGCGGGGAGGCGGCGGGAGGCUCGUCGGUGCUGUCCGGGGAGUACCAGGCGCAGGAGAUGUCGACGAUGGUGUCGGCGCUCGCGAGGGUCGUGUCCGGCGGCGGCGGCGGCUGGGCCGACGACGGCUGGGAGGGCCACCCGGCAAUGGGGGGCUACGUGCAUGCGCAGGGAGGCUGCUAUCCCGCCGCGCCGACACCGGAUCAGCUCGCAGCAGGACAGGAGCGGCGGAGCCCGGACGUGCAGCAGAGCGCAGCCAUGGGGGAGCAGUACCCGCACACGUACGGCGGCGAGCCGGCGGCCGCCGCGGAGCAGGCGAGCGCGCCGGAGCGGCGGUACCGCGGCGUGAGGCAGCGCCCGUGGGGCAAGUGGGCCGCGGAGAUCCGCGACCCGCACAAGGCCGCCCGCGUGUGGCUCGGCACCUUCGAGACCGCCGAGGCCGCCGCGCGCGCCUACGACGAGGCCGCGCUCCGCUUCCGCGGCAGCCGCGCCAAGCUCAACUUCCCCGAGGACGCGCGCCUCACCGCCCCGGUGGCACCCACCACCGCGAGCGCGGCGCCGACGGUGGCCUCCUCGGCGGCCGCCUACCCCGCCGGCGCCGUCUCGGACUACUUGCAGUACCAGAUGCUUCUGCGCGCAGGAGGUGGCGGGUUCCCGCCGUACUACGGCGGCGGCGGCGGUUCGUCUUCGGGGUCCUACUCGCUCCCGGAGUCCUCUGUGACCGUGGCCUCCGUGCCGUCCUCUGCCUCCUCUGCUUCGGGUUACGGCGGCGCGGCGGCGGAGCACGGCGAGGCGGCGCAGUGGGCGUGGCCCGCGGAGACUGCAUGGACCUACCCGGCGACCACGGGCUCGUGGUCCGGUUCGAGCCAGUAUCCGCCGCCACCUCAAUAG